GAUGAACGCUGGCGGCGUGCCUAAUACAUGCAAGUCGAGCGAACGGACGAGAAGCUUGCUUCUCUGAUGUUAGCGGCGGACGGGUGAGUAACACGUGGAUAACCUACCUAUAAGACUGGGAUAACUUCGGGAAACCGGAGCUAAUACCGGAUAAUAUUUUGAACCGCAUGGUUCAAAAGUGAAAGACGGUCUUGCUGUCACUUAUAGAUGGAUCCGCGCUGCAUUAGCUAGUUGGUAAGGUAACGGCUUACCAAGGCAACGAUGCAUAGCCGACCUGAGAGGGUGAUCGGCCACACUGGAACUGAGACACGGUCCAGACUCCUACGGGAGGCAGCAGUAGGGAAUCUUCCGCAAUGGGCGAAAGCCUGACGGAGCAACGCCGCGUGAGUGAUGAAGGUCUUCGGAUCGUAAAACUCUGUUAUUAGGGAAGAACAUAUGUGUAAGUAACUGUGCACAUCUUGACGGUACCUAAUCAGAAAGCCACGGCUAACUACGUGCCAGCAGCCGCGGUAAUACGUAGGUGGCAAGCGUUAUCCGGAAUUAUUGGGCGUAAAGCGCGCGUAGGCGGUUUUUUAAGUCUGAUGUGAAAGCCCACGGCUCAACCGUGGGGGGUCAUUGGAAACUGGAAAACUUGAGUGCAGAAGAGGAAAGUGGAAUUCCAUGUGUAGCGGUGAAAUGCGCAGAGAUAUGGAGGAACACCAGUGGCGAAGGCGACUUUCUGGUCUGUAACUGACGCUGAUGUGCGAAAGCGUGGGGAUCAAACAGGAUUAGAUACCCUGGUAGUCCACGCCGUAAACGAUGAGUGCUAAGUGUUAGGGGGUUUCCGCCCCUUAGUGCUGCAGCUAACGCAUUAAGCACUCCGCCUGGGGAGUACGACCGCAAGGUUGAAACUCAAAGGAAUUGACGGGGACCCGCACAAGCGGUGGAGCAUGUGGUUUAAUUCGAAGCAACGCGAAGAACCUUACCAAAUCUUGACAUCCUUUGACAACUCUAGAGAUAGAGCCUUCCCCUUCGGGGGGGCAAAGUGACAGGUGGUGCAUGGUUGUCGUCAGCUCGUGUCGUGAGAUGUUGGGUUAAGUCCCGCAACGAGCGCAACCCUUAAGCUUAGUUGCCAUCAUUAAGUUGGGCACUCUAAGUUGACUGCCGGUGACAAACCGGAGGAAGGUGGGGAUGACGUCAAAUCAUCAUGCCCCUUAUGAUUUGGGCUACACACGUGCUACAAUGGACAAUACAAAGGGCAGCGAAACCGCGAGGUCAAGCAAAUCCCAUAAAGUUGUUCUCAGUUCGGAUUGUAGUCUGCAACUCGACUACAUGAAGCUGGAAUCGCUAGUAAUCGUAGAUCAGCAUGCUACGGUGAAUACGUUCCCGGGUCU
rnacentral:rRNA from 1 species